UGACCCCUGUGAUGUCCAGUGCAGGGCUCUGUGACAACACGGUGCUACCCCGGGACCUUUGACCCCCGGGGGUGGGAAGGGUCC